GUGGGGAAUCUUGCGCAAUGCGCGAAAGCGUGACGCAGCAACGCCGCGUGGGGGAAGACGGCCUUCGGGUUGUAAACCCCUUUCAGGAGGGACGAAGGUUCACCGGUGAAUAGCCGUGUGGAUUGACGGUACCUCCACAAGAAGGUCCGGCUAACUACGUGCCAGCAGCCGCGGUAAUACGUAGGGACCAAGCGUUGUCCGGAAUCAUUGGGCGUAAAGCGCGCGUAGGUGGCCAUUUAAGUCCGCUGUGAAAGUCAAAGGCUCAACCUUUGAAAGCCGGUGGAUACUGGAUGGCUAGAGUACGGAAGAGGCGAGUGGAAUUCCUGGUGUAGCGGUGGAAUGCGCAGAUAUCAGGAGGAACACCAAUAGCGAAGGCAGCUCGCUGGGACGUUACUGACACUGAGGCGCGAAAGCGUGGGGAGCGAACAGG
rnacentral:rRNA from 1 species